AAUUGCCCUAAUUUUCCUUCAGGUUUGUUCCUGGAAAGAGCAGAAAUUGUGCCUCUAGAAAAGAAAACCAGAAGGCUUGGCAGGACUUCACUCUCCAAGACUCUGUUCUUGCUCUGAUUCCCACGUGGGGAAGUCACAGGAUUUUUGUGGACUUAUGUUGCCGCCUAGAUUGUGUGUUGUGAGCUGGGAAAGAAAUCUGCACGUCGCUUGAAGCUGCCACUGCCUGUAAGGUUCUGCUGCCAGAAACUGGAAACGACCCCUGUGCUUCAUCAAGUGGGAUAACACAGGUGAGUAUUUAUGGAUGUGGAGAUGCUAAAACUACCAGCAAAGCACAAUUGUUGUGAGACAGGAGGCUGUCU
rnacentral:lncRNA from 1 species